CUGUAGAGAUGGAGGGAAGAGGUGGAUCUUCCCUUUAGUUUCCAGAAACUUCCACAAACAUGCAGUUGAGCAUUCAUUGAGCACAUGCACUUCAUACAAACUGGAUUAACCUGUAGCAAAUUUAUUUUAACCCCUUAAGGACAGCUUCAGAAGCUUGUUUUACACUUCAAACACAAUUUUCAUCUCUCUCAAUUAUUGUACCAACACAUAUUAUAUACCUUUUUUAGAGGGCAAACAGAGCUUUAAUUUGAUGUCACAUAUACAUAGAUACAUUCUCAUUAAUUAUAAAUAAAAUGCCAAACAAUUGGGGGGGGUGGAAUAAUUUUUUUUCCACAGUUUUGGCAAUAAUAGCGUGUGCAUAUGUC